GCUGAAGAAAAUACACUAGUGUUGAUUUUCUUUUUCAUGAAAGAAGUAAUUUAUUCUUCAUAUAAUUACUUGCCAGUCAUGGGAAGGAAAUGUCAGGGUUUUUGUACACAAUGAUAGGAAUUAUUGUUACAUUACAGGGUGACUCUGCGAACUCCUUUUGAAAAAACUCUCAUCAUAUCAGGACUGUUUUACUAGCUGUUAGACCACCAUUGUACUGGCUACUAUAACAUUUCUUGGUAUUCUUUCUUGACUUGAACUAAUUAUUUCCUACUUGCCACACUAAAGUCCCCAAAAAGACCAUGAAGGCCUGAGAGUAAUGAAAAUCUUCCUGAAAUUGAGGUCACUGUGGAAGAUGGGACCAUCUAGUUGCAGAAAAACAAGCUCAGGACUC
rnacentral:lncRNA from 1 species